rnacentral:sRNA from 1 species
UUUUAGCCCUGAUAGCAACGGAAAUCCUUUUAUGUUUUUUCUUUAAAAACAUAAAAGAUUGUAGUGUAUAGCAGGAAUAGCU